rnacentral:lncRNA from 1 species
UGUUGGUGCUGAUAUUGUUUGUUUUUUUUUUGUUUGUUUUUUCUUGAAACUGUGCUGACUCAGCCUGGGAAUCUGGCUAUAAGAUGUUGUUGACUAGAGCCCAAGCACCUGGGGAAACUAUCACAGUACAAAGCACCAGAAACGUCAAGUCAUAACAUCAACCUCUUCCUCUCGUCUGAGUGCCACACAGUCAGAAGCUGCCUCCUUUACAUCUCUGCUAAUCUCAGGGGUGCUGCAGCAAAUUAGAGUUUAGAAUUGAUGAAUUAUGGCAUCUGUCCACGCGGUGUGCUCCUCUGCCCUCCAAUCAAUUUAAGUGACUUUCCCCCCACGGUGAGAAUAGACUUUUUGUUAAAUGACUCCAUAAGAAAAAUUAUAGCUAUAAAUCCGCAGCCAACACCAGCUGUUAUGAAGAUUUAUUACUGUAGUUAAUGUUAAUACUCCACCCAGCCCCGUCACAUCAGACGCAGGGGCCGCUGUAGGUCAGCCAAUGGGGUUAUUCUUGUUAUUUCCUCGUCCAGAGUGAAAUUAGUCUGACAGUAAAACGUUGGAGAAAAAUCAACUGUUUCUGUGAUAAUUGCCGGUUGUCGGGUUUAAGGUGGGCUCGUCCUUGGUGAGCCUGGUUGUUAAAGGAUUGUUUACAGCGGUGAAAGGGCCAGAUUGAGUCAUUGACAUCAGCUGUUUGUCUGUUUGAAAGCUGCAAAAUGUGAAGGUCCGCUCAGAGAGGCUUUAACACCGACCAUUCAGCGACGCCUUUGGGGACACACGCGAGGGGGAGGGGGGCACAAACACUCACUGCCCACAACAAAAGCAAACGGUUGCAUAAUUCUCUAAGGUUCACGGUUAUAGAAAAUGUUAAUAGAUGUUUGUUUUAAAUGAUGCGUGUACGCAGUGUGUGGAUAAGAAGGUGUGGGCGAGAUAAAGAGAAAGGGAGAGAGAGUCAAGGCUUCCCUGUAGGGUGUAGGUGGUUGUCAUGUGUGUUUAAAGCAUUACCCUCAUGGCAUGUUUGAGAGUAAAAUCGGUCAGAUGGUUGCAGUUUUAAUUUUGACACCAAACUUUAAUUUAGUUUUAGUAAUUUUCAGAAAACUAGGGUUGAGAUGUGAAAAACAGUUUGGCCCACCCCACCUCUUAGUUUGAUUCAUCAAAAAUAGCAAUAUUAAAAGUGUAAAUCUUAUUGUUGGUGCUCUUGUUUACAUUUAAAAAACAUUAAACGUAGGGCUGCACGAUAUAUCGUUUAAGCAUCAUCAUCGUGAUGUACGUGUCCGCGAUAGUGACAUUGCAGAGCCUGUGAUGUAGGAGGUGAAUGAACUCAUCUAAUUUUAAGGGUAGCUGACUGAGAUACACUGCAUGUGACUCUACAUGUGCAGUGCAGCGAUCCACCAAUCACUUUCAUUCUUUACUUGAUUGCCAAUUAGACUACCCUGCCAGCCGUCAAUCAACAUCAGAGAGGAGGAAACCCACCCCUGCACAUGGAGUGAGUCGCUGCGCUGCCAGUGUUGUGCCGAGAAAUGAGUGUUCGCUGAGAAUUACUUUGGGAACAUUACUCAUCACUGUUUAGCCCGACAAAUAAGAAUUGUACACGUUUUAAAUUGUACAUUUUCAUGGACUACUCUACUAUAAGCGGUGUGCGUUUUGCAAGGUACAUGCGUUUCUCGGCACAACACCGUUAACAACAACAACGGUUGCAAAAUGAGCAACGAACAAGAGAAAAUGAAAACUUGUUGCCAAAAAGAAAAGGAAAGUCAGUUAUCUGGAAUUAUUUCGGUUACAAGAGGGAUGAUGUCGACCAAAACGUGUUCUGUGUUCAUCUGUUGCCAUAAUAACAUCCCAGCACAAUAAAAGUUAAAAAUAUCUCUAAGACAGACAGAAGCCAUUCUACUAACAUUCACAAAAAGAGAUAAGAUCAACGCAGGUUAAUUGUCCACAAGAUUUCAGCAUAAAGUGAUAUUCAGGUCAUCUGGUGAAAAUUCCUGUAUUUUUUUAUAUCGCAAUAUAUAUCGCAGGGUUGAAAAAAAUCAUUGUUAGUUUUUUUCAAUAUCGCGCAGCCUUAGUAAAAAGGCAUUAGGAUGAAUUUCAACCUUUUUUACAAAUAUCAAAAAAAUACUCACGGGCGCUUUAAAGCAAACAAAUAAUUGUUUUUAUCAUGUCAAAAUCAGAGACUGUGGUGCUUUUCAGGGGCAACAACAUCCCAUAAUACCUACUAGUGUCACACUCUGACAGUAGGUAUGUUAGGACACUCAGUUAUUGUUUUUUUUUUUUUUUGUUUUAAAAGGCAAAUCUAAAGUAGAGCCCUUCAUAGAGCUUCUGCAAGGAAGAGAUUACUGUGUAUCCUAAAAAAAAAAAAUUCAAGGUAUGUCUUACAAUCUUCAAUUGUUGCCUAAUAUCAUCACAUCCAAUGUUUGUCAUUGUGAGCUGUCCUUGUCACUGCCGCUAUUAAACAAGUUUGUUUAUUUGUACAGAUUUUAAGAGCACACUGCAGUUUCACACUGGUACAUCAUCAGAGCCUCUGCUGCCAUGGCAACCACCAAAAUCUCAUGUGCUUAUUGAUUUAAAUGCCACCCCCAUGGAAACUCAAUGACAUUUAAGUUAUUUAUUGGAUUAAAUAAAGUACUGUUCAUUACAUAUUUAGACCGCACAGUGGUCCAGAAGCUGAAAAACAAAUGUGGUGCUAUAAAAGAGAGGGGAUGUUUUUCUUCUCUGCUACACUCACAGUUUGUCGGCCAGCCGACCACAAAACUUGUAGUGGAUGUUUGCUUCACAGAGCAGGUCAAUAAGGAUUGUCCCAAACAAAUUGAAUGUUUUUGCUUCCUUCUGUGAGCAGCUCAGCGAUGUUUAUCAGAGAUGGAUCCGAAACAGCUGACAGAGUUUAAGAGGCUGGGUGCAGCAGAUCAUGAAGGGACUUUGAAUUGACAUUUUUCUAAAAACUUUCCAUAUAUUGAGAAAAGAAUGAGAGGAAAAUGGAAAAACUGUAAGAGUGCUACAUUUCCACCACAAAAUUCCACCACAGACAUAUAAAUAACAGCUUUUUCAAGGGUUCACUAAGGGACAAUAUGACUCUGCCAAGGAUCCAGAGGCCCAUUAAACAAAAAUAAAACUCCUAUUCACUUAUUAACCAAUCUAUAUUUUAACAUUUACAUCAACAGCUCAUUUGUAAAUCAACAUUUGGACAGAAAAUUGAGUUUUACCUCUUUAUAACCCAUAACCAAACCUAAUAAUACACACCAUUUUAUAGACAAGACAAUCAUAGUUUUGUCUCCAACUCGUUUAUCUCCAUAUAUUUCAAGAUGUUGUUCAUCCUUGCAAACCAACAGAAUGAGUGCAAACAUAACUGUCUUGAUAAUAUAGCAUGCCAAAAAAAGUGGUCUCCUAUGGUCAACUUACCCCGCGCAAUGCAUGACGGGAUGACCAUCGGAUGGUCUCUCCAUUUGGCAAUGCUCUACGGGAAAUUUUGAGUCGCCUAUAUAGGGCAUCGAAGUUGAUCACUCAGGUUUCGGACACCACUUAAAAAUGGUGCUAACCCCGUAUAGUCGCCUAUACAAGGGUUAGGGAUCCAUUUCAGACACACGACUUUAUUAGCCCUCUAAGCUAAAAUGGUGGACUUUUAUGCUAGUUUUUUGACCUCAUGUUGUAGCUCAUAGAUACCACAAUUGAUGUAUAAAACAUAUAUAAAAUGAUCUUUUUUGGUCUGAACACAAUUCUGAUAAAUUUAAGACAAACUAAAUUCACUUUCAAGAGUUAAUUUUUUUUAAAAUAAAUGUCUAACCUCUUCACCCAUGUACUUCUAACCUUCACAGACUCCAUGAAUUGAUGCCCAUUUCCUAAAUAUUUGGUCACAUGAUCAAUUUCUUUUACCAUUUCCAAACAACAAAAGGUAGCUCAAUUUACCCCACUCUCCCCUACAUGAUUUCGGAUUAACAGAAACACCUCUUACCCAGCAGGAAUCCCACAGAUGACCGCUGAGUCCACACACUUGAUGAGGUGAUAUCCGGUCUCGGUAACCUGCGUCCUCCAUCUUGUCUCUCUGCUACAAUGGCGGCGGCGAUGCUAACACAGCUAGCUCCAUCGGCAGAAUUCAGCCCAAAACACACACAAAACUGAGCACGUUAACAGGUGAACACUAAAAUAUCCCGCUGGAGCAUAAACAGUUUAAAAAAUAAUGCAAAAAUAGUUUUUCUCUCUCUUUUCACUCAACUUGUUUACCUGUAUCCUUCUUCUCUCCCGUUUCCCUCCUAGUCCCGCCCCUCAACCCUGAUAGGUUCAGAACAAGCAGCGUGUCUCUUUUGAUUGACACCUGUCUACCCCUGUUAACAACUCAUUACAGGCCGUGAUAUGUUCAAAGUCAAUACGAAAUCAGAGAGUUUACAAAAUUUUAAACCUUUUGGGGGUUUAUUCAGUUAAUUGUGACAUAAAACAAUUGGAAUUGGAAUAUGGUUUAUAACUUAUUUUUUCCCAGAAUAAUGCACAGCUCUGUUACAAUGUAAGAUUUUGACGCUCAAACCGCUCUGUCGCAUCUUUCGCCAUGGUAACUGUCGCUGAGGAUCAUGGGAAGGCCAAUAUAGCCUCCAGGCACGUAUGCUCUAAACAGCCGCACUGAAAAUCGAUAAUUGUAAAUAAGAUUUAUUAUUUCAUUUUCGUUUCCUUCUCUAUUAUUUAUUCUGUUUUGAGCUGAAAAUACAAAAACAAACACGAAUUUUUUUUUUAUUUUUUGGUAAUACAGAAAAACAAAUAAACAAAAUACUGACUUGUUUUUUCGUUUACUAGAUUGAAUAGAAUAAGUAAAUGGACGGAUAAUACACGGACUCAAUAACUCCAGUAUUCUGCACUUUUGCAUUUGCUGAAUAUUUAAUAAAGAAAUUUUCUAUUUGGUUAUUUGUGAUGCCCUUAUUCUCAUAUACACCCUCAAGAAACUUCUACAGACCCAAAUAAAAGAGAGAAAAAAAACGAAAACAGUAAAUGAAAAUGUCACCCCCAAACUUCGACCCUUGCUGAGAACAAAAAAGUCAUUAACACAUUCCAAUCAGCAAAACAAAGUAAAACAAUUAACUGGCUCCUCCACAGUGGGCUUUAAUAACACCACUUUAGCAGCACGCUCCUCUUAUUGCUUACAAGGUGAUGUGGGGAUGUUAUUGAGAUUUGGUUUAAAACGGCGCUCAGAGUGGGCUCUUGUCAUUACACAAACUCCAAGACAUUUCAUCCUGGCAUGCCGAGAAGUCAAGCCUGAGCCAGAAGCAGCAGUACGGAGGCCUAAUUGAACUCUCUGUGAUUCCCUCUCAAGGGCUAUUCUCAGUGCUCAUUAUCUUAGCCCCAGUCUCCGUAAAGACCAGAUGACUUCGCUCUGACUUUGAACCUCCCUCUCCAAACAGGUCAGUCCAGCUCCCUUUGUCCUUUCAUCUUCCUUUUGGCUUUUAUAAAUAAGCGCUUUUCUCCGGAGGCACAGUUGCAUCACCUCAGACAGCUGCCAGCGGUGGCUCCUCUCAGAACAAAAAGGAAUCCAGGCAACUCUGCUCUAAUCACUUUUGUCGUGCUGCGUGCUGACGAUGCCAACGGACUAAAAAUACAAAGAUAGAAAUGAGAAACAGAAUUUCCAGGACUGUUGUUCCCCUUUUGUCAUUUUUACAACCUACUGUGUUCUACAUCCUGCUACUGAAAAGCCUUUUUGUGCAUCCACUGGAAUUCCUCAUUUUAACACAAAAACACCCGCCAGCCACGAUCAAACAAUCAUUACUGAGUAGCAGUUGGAAUCAUCAUUUAUAGCAUUUAGAUUUGUUCACACACAUCUUUCUGUUUACUUAAUAACAGCAAGAGAUCCCAGCGCCUACUGCUGUCCUGUAGCUGUUUUUGUGUCUCUCUCAUUCUCCAGUGUGUUAAUACUUACAUUUAACGCGUCAGCCACAGCCAAAGAUGUGACGCUAUACAAAUACAAGCUCUGCAUCAUGGGAGAGGGUAUUUCCAUAUCCAGAUGGCCUUUUAACAGACAUGCUGUGCACUACUAAGAACAAAAGGGCUUUAGAUGCUUCUGUGGUUGUUUCACAGUGUCUUGUCCCUCAGAAAAAUCCCCCGACUAAAAUGAUCAAAAGCUGAACAAGGGAGUGAAACGAGGCUCUCGGUUUCACCAUUUGUGAUCUGAUUAUUUUGAGAUAUUUAUAGAUUAAGUUGAUUAAACGAUCGAACAUUAUCCUCCUUUCUGAUUGGCACUCAUCAGCUCAACUAAGCAUGAACACUUUUAUUGUUUUAAGCCUGAAAAUCCAUUGAAUGAAUUUAAAUUUUCUUUUUCUAGUGAUCAGGUAAUUAGAGUGGCAAAGUGACAAGAUGGGAGGACACCAUUAUGGGAGGACAGCAGUGUUAAUAGUUGGGUAAGAAGCAUAGACUGUAUAAAGAAUGGACGCUGUCUGCCUCCUCGCUGGGUGAAGCCACUCCGAGAACAGCACCCUCUGGUGACGGGUUGCAGUAUAGGUCAUAAAUCCCGCCUCCACCAGCAAAGCUUAUGGAGCUGUGGACAAACUUUAGAAAUCUAUUACACAGAAUAUAAAUUUUUCUCCCCCCCUACUUGUGGUGUUGACAUGUAGUUACAGUAAGAUUGGUUUGAAGCUCCGUUGUUAAAAGUUAUUAGGGGGUUCAUGUUUUCUUUGAUUGACACCUGAUACAGCCUAUGGGCGUUCAGGGAUUGUGUAGCUCACCUGUGGGAUACGCUGUUUGAGCCGAGCGUCAUCACAGCGACUCUCGGCGACUCUCCCGCCGAAUGCGCACAACACUGCACAAUGCUGGUUUCAGGAAAUGAAGAAAAAUCAUGGAAAUACCGGGAGCUUUUUGGCUUCAAAUCUGUAUACAGGCAGGAGGCGGAACCAAGUUGUCCGUAGUAUAUACAGUCUAUGGUAAGAAGUCACCAUUUACACUCGACCCACUACUUCUCACACUCCAUAUAUUUUUUUUUUAACUGCAAGGAAAGAGCGUUUUUACUGUCUGUCCAAGGAAUUGGUCUCAGAUUCACACCAACAAGAGUAACACUUGUUCUACCUUCUGUUUGCUUUGUUUAACCUCAACACAGGGAACCCUUAACCUCAGUUUAACUCAGCAUAAAAGUAAGAAAGCACACCUCCCAAUAUCAAGUCAAUUCUCUCUUCCUGUGAAAAGCUUCUGGUUUGUGUUGUUCUCGCGGCCCCUGUGGACAAACCGUACCCUUUAUGUCUUCGUUGAUCUUGUCCUGUACAUCAGAAAAAAGCAUCUCUGACUCGCUUUUUUUGUUUUUGUUCAUUUUAGCUGGUGGUUUUUUGUGCGGGGCAAGGCGUUAGGAAACAAUUACAGUGAAAGUACAAGCUUUUUACUUCAAAACAUUUCCUGUUGAAAAUGCAAACAAAGGCUGUCGCUGCUCGUUUUGUCUGGCGCCUACUUUGGCAGAUGUUCAGGCAAUAAAAAUGAGUUUAUUUGAAUAUACUCCAUUUUCUCUGUAAUGGUUUAUUUACGCUUGUAGGUCAGGUAAAUUUCAGUUUGUUUCACAACCAGCUAAAAUCUUCUCAUCAUGACUUUUAAAGACUGUUUACCUAAUCUAAAAGUUGCGUAAAAACUAGAGUAGCAUUCAGAGGACAGUGACUAGAGCUGAGGCCAUGUUUGUGAGUGGGAUCAGCUGUUAUUGCUUAUUGAUGCAGAUCAGUUAUGUGAUGUGAUGGGUUUUCUUCUCAUCCUUCAUACUCGCACCUUUAAAUGGCGCGCAGUACUAGGCGUGCAGCAUUGUCCUUUUUGCCACUUUUCUCCUUCAGUGGAUCAAAGCCAUACGUUCAGAAAAAUCAAUAGUAAAUCAAUAGUAAUAAGACUUGUUGAGUGGUAAUUUGAUUGAAAUGACACCUCUAUGAGUGAAAUGGUUGCAGGCACUGUCUGUAUUUUGCAACCCUCAAAGCUACUCUUUGCUAAGCUCAAGUACAGAAACAACUUUAAAAAAGAAAAAUCUACGCAGCUGCAUAAAAUCUGCACAUUGUGGACUUAGCCAAAUGCAACUGAAGACAUUCAAAAGUGCCCCAAAAAACAAGAUAUGUUUUAUUUACUGGUGCAAAUUAAAUGUCAGAUGUUAGAUAAAGAUAUUUAAUCUGAUGUUUUUUAAUUUUUAUCAUUCAGUUAUGGCUUUUGAUCUGAUCAUCUCAACUGUCGGUGUCAUAAUUUUGUUUAUUUGUUAAGAUUUGAUUUUUUAUUUUUAGUUUAUGAUCAAUGUUUUGAUGAGCUACGGCAAUAUUUUUACAAUUAACUGCCUGAGGGAAUAUUUUUACAUCUUAUUCUGUCUUGUAGUGGCUGGAUUGUUCAUCGCAGAUACAUCACAUGUUUUCGUUUACCCAGAAAAGCUUCCCAUCCGUCAGACUAACUUCAAAAACCCUCGUUCGGUUUACCUUUGACACCAAUUUGGCAGACCAAAAUAAGAUACCCCACUUCUAUGAAUCCUUUUUGAAGAUCUAACGUAUGUUUGGUAGGAAAGCAGUCUUACACUGCGCGUGUGUAUUUCUGUUCCUCUGCCUCUCGACCUGCGUUCGGUGGGAUGAACUCCUGAAACCAGUAACCUUGAACGCCAAUAAAUCCCACCCCCGCUUGAUUUAUUUUCACUUACAGCAGCACAUGGGUCAUUUGUUGAAAGAGUAACCUCCUUUUAACUCUGUGACCGCAGCCGUCCUGCAGUUUCUUCUUCAGGCCCACAGUGAAGGGUCUUCAUAUCUUCUGCUCUACCAGCACACCCUCCGCUCUCUGUGUAAGACAUCAGGCAGACCGGCACGGCUCCCCGAGCUUUGAAGUUUGUUUCAGAGGUACAUCAAAGGCAGCAGCAGCAUGGAUACAUGGAUGACACAUUUAAUUUGGUUAGCAAGCAUUUCACAAAUUUACGCCAUCAAUUAACUCAUGAUGGACAUAUAGUGGGUAAUUACCACCGAACUAUAAAUAGCAUCAAAGUUGAAGAGCUUGCGUCUUUACAAAGCUAUACACUGACGAGGUCUUACACAGAUGUCAAAAAGCUACAGAUGUCAAAAAGCUUAUUUGAAUAUGAGGACACGCCAUGACUGCACAUUUACCACAAUAAUACCCCUUACUUAUAUUAGCCGUGAUGUUCCCAUUCUUUACAUAAAGCCGCCCCACAUCUUCAGCAAACUGUCACUCACCUGUCAGCCGUGUUAACACUCACCACACACAGCUACAAAAAAAUAAUUACCUCCCACGCUUCGGGAUCUUCUGACAGGCAAUUAUAGUGUUUAAACAUACAUGAAUACACCCUCCAAGCGGGCCAUGUAUUGUAGAAAGCGGAGUACUUAAUGGACUGUGAGUAAGUCAGGUGUUGCAUUUGUUUCCCGGUAAAGUGAAUUAUUCAUUGUUGAUGUUUUUGAAUGUAUGUAUAUAGAAAUGUAUAGAGGUUGCCGGGUAAUGCUUUCCGGCUCUGCAGAUAGUCAGAAGUAUUGAAGUGAUUGACUUUCAGCGGAAACCACAGGGGAGAGCGGUGACGUGAUUAUGGCGUAUGGGCUCUGACUAAACAGACGUCAAAGAUGACACAAACUGCGCUGUAAAUGUUGUUUGUGCACGUCUGCUUUAAAGGCUGAAACAUACAGGAUCCAUAUUGAGUGUGUAUCAUCAGCGUCACGUAUCACGCAGCAAUAGGUUGCCAUUCUAAUCAAUGCAGCUCCGUCGCAGCUCAGUAUCUGAAGCAUAUUGAGAGCAGCACUGCUAAAGAUACCUUAAAGAUACCUAAAGAUACCUAAAGAUACUAAUUUCCCCUCGGGGAUCAAUAAAGUUCUCUAUCUAUCUAUCUAUCUAUCUAUCUAUCUAUCUAUCUAUCUAUCUAUCUAUCUAUCUAUCUAUCUAUCUAUCUAUCUAUCUAUCUAUCUAUCUAUCUAUCUAUCUAUCUAUCUAUCUAUCUAUCUAUCUAUCUAUCUAUCUAUCUAUCUAUCUAUCUAUCUCUACGCUUCCAGUGCAUGUCAAUGUACACAGAGAAGAUCGUUCUAGACAGAGUGUCAAGCACGAAAACCCCGCAUGUCAUCCGGUAUUUCAAAUAAAACCCCAUAUGCGAACUCCCAACUGUGUAUCAGUUCAUGUAGAUGAGAAAUACUUCCUGGUUAUUGAUUCAUCAGUAACACAGAACAAUCUGAUGGUCAAUCCCUGAUCCAAUUGGACCCCAACUGGACUUUUAACUGCUAACUCUACCUGAAGGUAACAGCACAGCAUAAAGGAGCAUAGUUUACUUUAUUAAACAUGAGUAAACCUGCAAAAACCGAAACUGUAAAAUUCUUGUUGCUUUUUCACAUACAGUAGAGGCUCAACAGUCACUGAAUUAUACCCAAAUUAGCAGGAAAUAGACCACAGGGCAUGUUGUUUCCUCUAUACUGAGCCCAGCUGACUGGGGCUGCACUACGCUGCUGCCACGCUAAAGUUUUCAGCUUAAGUUAAUGUCUCAAGGUGAAGCCUGCAUUGCUAUCAGCCAACACCAGCAACCAAUAUGAGACACUUGAGCUGUUUGCAUGGAUUUCCUCAAAUCUACUCACCCAAGUUGUUUGCGAUCCAUCUUCCUUUUGGUGACGGGAGAUCUGGCUCCUUUUACUGAUUCAGACCGUUUGGCUCCGAAAGACCGGGCUCCCUGACGGCCCCUUUACAGCACCAUGUUGGCUCACGGGAGCUGGAUCUUGUAGCCAAGUCAUUUACUACCAAUACAAUGCCAGCCACAAAAUGCUAAUAAUUUGGCUUGAUUGAAAUGAAAAUGCUAAGCUUGAUGUUAAUCCAAAGCACAAGUGAGCUGACAAGGAAAUAGUGCCAAACAUGGAACCGGGAAGC